UACGAGGGGAGCAAGCGUUGUUCGGAUUUACUGGGCGUAAAGGGCGCGUAGGCGGCUUGACAAGUCACUUGUGAAAUCUCCGGGCUUAACUCGGAACGGCCAAGUGAAACUGUCAUGCUAGAGUGCAGAAGGGGCAAUCGGAAUUCUUGAUGUAGCGGUGAAAUGCGUAGAUAUCAAGAGGAACACCUGAGGUGAAGACGGGUUGCUGGGCCGACACUGACGCUGAGGCGCGAAAGCUAGGGGAGCGAACGGG
rnacentral:rRNA from 1 species